GCGCGGGGGGCGGGGCCGCGCGGGGGCCACUGACGCCACUUCCGGUGGAGGCCCGGCGGGAGGAGCCCGGCGGCGCAGUCCCGCCCGCCCCAAGAUGGCGGAGACAAGGACUCUGUAUAUACAGACAAGACACAGAAUUGAUGUGAACCCUGAAGAUCUCAUAAGCAGUAUGAGAGACAGAGGAAGAGAAAUGAGAGAGAAGGAAAAGCCAACCUUCAGAGAUGCCUAUAAGCACUGUAGGAGUUCCUGUCCUACUGAGAGAAGAGCCCAGUGAUUGUUGCUCCAAAAGAAAAAAAGGAUUAAAGGAAGAGCCUGAGGUUUUGCAGUGUUUGCUUGUUUUUAUGCCUCAAGAAGAAGCAAAUGUCUUAGGGGCCAGCUUGGGAUGCAUUUAACCUUUGCAGAAGGUAACUCUGGUCUUCAUUUUGAAAAGAAA